rnacentral:lncRNA from 1 species
ACCUUUGUAACAGCUGCUUUCACAAGAGCUGAAUCAGGCCCUUUCCAAGCAAGGCUGCCCUGACCUAAUCACCUCCCAAGGCUCCCUCUCUUAUCGUUAUUUAUUUAUUCAUUUCUGAGAUCAGGUCUUUAUGUAGCCCAGGCUGUCCUUGAACUCUUGGAGACCUUCCUGCCUCAGCCUGCCCAGUGCUGGGAUUAUGAGUCCGCCUCUUAAAGAUUCCAGGACCUCAACAUCAGACUGCUGGGAACCAAUCCUCCAGGACAAGAAUCUCUGGGGGACACUGGCAAACUGUCUGCAAAGGGCACCCCACACUCCAUCCAGAUUCCUUCAUAGGAUAUUGUGCCAGGUCGCGCACUUGUAAUCCCAGGACUUGGGAUGCUGAUGCAGGAGGAUCACCAGGAGUUCAAGGCCAGCCUCGUGCCAAAUCCCUAACCCUGCAGGACCCCAAGCCCUUUCUCAUGCCUCCGUGUGGCCUGGCCUCAGCUCCUCUCCUGCUCUGGGGCCAAGCGAUUGCUUCAUUGGACCCUGAAUAUGGAAUUCCCUGAGCACCCUGUGACCCCGCAUCCAUCUAAGAAAAGCAGGUAGGACCCAUAGUUACAGGAAGACGCCAAUGACUGCUCUGGAAAACCAAGAGUAAGUGCUCCUGACUGCAAA